rnacentral:misc_RNA from 1 species
GGAAGUAAACGUCGUAACAAGGUUUCCGUAGGUGAACCUGCGGAAGGAUCAUUAUUGUAUAACCGAGGUGCGAGGGCUGUCGCUGACCCGAAAGGUCGUGCACGCCCGAGUGCCCUCACACACAUCCAUCUCACCCCUAUGUGCACCACCGCGUGGGUCCCCCUUUGGCUUGUUCGGAGGGGGGCUUACGUUUUCACACAAACUUUGUAUGCAGUGUAGAAUGUAUUUUUUGUUUUUGCGAUCACGCAAUCAAUACAACUUUCAACAACGGAUCUCUUGGCACUC